rnacentral:rRNA from 1 species
CGGAGGGUGCAAGCGUUAAUCGGAAUUACUGGGCGUAAAGCGCACGCAGGCGGUUGGAUAAGUCAGAUGUGAAAGCCCCGGGCUCAACCUGGGAACUGCAUUUGAAACUGUUCGACUAGAGUCUUGUAGAGGGGGUAGAAUUCCAGGUGUAGCGGUGAAAUGCGUAGAGAUCUGGAGGAAUACCGGUGGCGAAGGCGGCCCCCUGGACAAAGACUGACGCUCAGGUGCGAAAGCGUGGGGAGCAAACAGGAUU